AUCAGUAGUUGUAACGGGCCACCAUUCGUCAAACUUUUAUGACCCCCUCCCCCACCCGUUGACAGGUCGUGUUUUAUGACCCCUUUGACAGGGGGGCGGGACCAUCAAUCAAAAUCUGUACAAGUUGUCAACUUUAGACAGAAAGUAUUUAAUGGUUUUAUUGCCGGUCAUUUAGAGUGAUUGUUUUUCCUGAGUGUGUUUUAUGUCAAGCGUAUGGUGUCAUGUUUAAUGACGGCUCGUGUUUCGACAUUUGCUGUUUAUUGACAUUUGAUGUCAGAUCUCAACCAUCCUCCCUCCUUUGCUCGCCCCGUGCGAGUCUCACCACUGCGUGUCACACCGCGGGUGUGUUGUUGAAUCUAAAGUUUUGCAACAUUAAAAGUUUAUUUAAAGGCAAUCACUAAUCAUAUAUAUAUAUAUAUGUGAUUAGAUGUAACUGGUUAAGCUUAAAGCCGAUAUUUUCUAUCGAACUAGUCUAUUUUCUGUUCAGACACAUAGUUUUCUGAUGCUGAUAUUAUGUCAGUGUGUGUUUGUGUGGGGGUCGUGUGAUGUAAUCUUUGAAAGUUUAUGACCGAUCCUUUAUUGGGGAGCAACAAGAGAUCUCCCGGACUCAGUUUGGAUGGAGCAGAGCUGUUAUACUCAAGUCUAUUGAGAGGAAUGAACAAAAAGUCAGACCGAGACUAGAACCACCAGCAGCGUAACAAGGAAAUCUUGGAGCAAAGAGACGUCGAUUGGAUCGUGUUGUCCGGUUUGGAUAUCAGUGGCAAAGCGAACGUUGUGUGUACUAUUGCAAAAAUAUAUAUAGCGGAUCUCCACGACUAGGAUACAGACCACAACACUUUGGACGUAUCUUUAAAAAAGAGAAAAAUCAGAGACUUUUUGGAUUUGUCUGGGGACAUUUUAAACAUUUUGUGGCAAAUUGGAUUUAAAACAUUUCGGAUAUUGGAUACAUAGUUUGAUUUGUCCACAGAGCUUGUUUAAGACGUUUUCACCUCAUUUUAGGGUUUAUUUUUAAUUAAAGGCUUCUUAAAACAUGUAUGAAAAUGUGUAUAUUAUACAAUGAGUCUUAUA